UUAGUAGGGAGACAGAGGUUAGUAGGGAGACAGAGGUUAGUAGGGUUACAGAGGUUAGUAGGGAGACAGAGGUUAGUGGGGAGCAUUAAUAGUGGGGACGCAGAGGUUUGUAGGGAGACAGAGGUUGGUAGACAGACAGAGGUUAGUAGGGAGACAGAGGUUGUAGGGAGAGAGAGGGUAGUAGGGAGACAGAGGCUAGUAGGGAGACAGAGGUUAGUAGGGAGACAGAGGUUAGUAGGGAGACAGAGGUUAGUAGGGAGACAGAGGCUAGUAGGGAGACAGAGGUUAGUAGAGAGACAAUAGUGGGGAGACAGAGGUUGGUAGGGAGACAGAGGUUGGUAGGGAGACAGAGGUUAGUGGGGAGCCAGAGGUUAGUAGGGAGACAGAGGUUAGUAGGGAGGCAGAGGUUAGUAGGGAGGCAGAGGGUAGUAGGGAGGCAGAGGUUUGUAGGAGACAGAGGUUGGUAGAGAGACAGAGGUUAGUAGGGACACAGAGGUUUGUAGGGAGACAGAGGUUAGUAGGGAGACAGACGGAGGUUUGGGAGACAGAGGUUAGUAGGGAGACAGAGGUUGGUAGUGAGACAGAGGUUAGUAUGGAGACAGAGUUUGGUAGGGAGACAGAGGUUUGUAGGGAGUCGGAGGUUGGUAGGGAGACAGAGGUUUAGUAUGGAGUCGGAGGUUCGUAGGGAGUCGGAGGUUAAUGUUGAGUUGGAGGUUAAUAGGGAGUCGGAGGUUAGUAGGGAGUCGGAGGUUAGUAGAGAGACAUAAUAGUGGGGAGACAGAGGUUAGUAGGGAGUCGGAGGUUAGUAGAGAGACAGAGGUUCGUAGGGAGACAGAGGUUGGUAGGGGGUCGGAGGUUAGUAGAGAGACAUAAUAGUGGGGAGACAGAGGUUGGUAGGGAAACAGAGGUUAGUGGGGAGCCAGAGGUUAGUAGGGAGACAGAGGUUAGUAGGGAGGCAGAGGUUAGUAGGGAGGCAGAGGUUAGUAGGGAGGCAGAGGUUAGUAUGGAGACAGAGUUUGGUAGGGAGACAGAGGGUAGUGGGGAGCCAGAGGUUAGUAGGGAGACAGAGGUUAGUAGGGAGGCAGAGGUUGGUAGGGAGACAGAGGUUGGUAGGGAGACAGAGGUUAGUGGGGAGCCAGAGGUUAGUAGGGAGACAGAGGUUAGUAGGGAGGCAGAGGUUGGUAGGGAGACAGAGGUUAGUGGGGAGCCAGAGGUUAGUAGGGAGACAGAGGUUAGUAGGGAGGCAGAGGUUAGUAGGGAGGCAGAGGUUAGUAGGGAGGCAGAGGUUAGUAGGGAGACAGAGGUUAUUAGGGAGGCAGAGGUUAGUAGAGAGACAGAGGUUAGUAGGGAGACAGAGGGUAGUAGGGAGACAGAGGUUAGUAGAGAGACAUAAUAGCUGGGAGACAGAGGUUGGUAGGGAGACAGAGGUUAGUAGGGAGACAUAAUAUUGGGGAGACAGAGGUUGGUUGUGAGACAGAGGUUAGUAUGGAGACAGAGUUUGGUAGGGAGACAGAGGUUGGUAGGGAGACAGAGGUUGGUAGGGAGACAGAGGUUAGUAGGGAGACAGAG
ensembl:lncRNA